rnacentral:rRNA from 1 species
CGUAGGGUGCGAGCGUUAAUCGGAAUUACUGGGCGUAAAGCGUGCGCAGGCGGUUUUGUAAGACAGGCGUGAAAUCCCCGGGCUCAACCUGGGAACUGCGCUUGUGACUGCAAGGCUAGAGUACGGCAGAGGGGGUGGAAUUCCACGUGUAGCAGUGAAAUGCGUAGAGAUGUGGAGGAACACCAAUGGCGAAGGCAGCCCCCUGGGUCGAUACUGACGCUCAUGCACGAAAGCGUGGGUAGCAAACAGGAUUAGAUACCCUGGUAGUCCACGCCCUAAACGAUGUCAACUAGGUGUUGGGUGGGUAAAACCAUUUAGUACCGGAGCUAACGCGUGAAGUUGACCGCCUGGGGAGUACGGCCGCAAGGUU